rnacentral:rRNA from 1 species
GGAGGAAAAGAAACCAACCGGGAUUGCCUUAGUAACGGCGAGUGAAGCGGCAAAAGCUCAAAUUUGAAAUCUGGUACCUUCGGUGCCCGAGUUGUAAUUUGGAGAGGGCAACUUUGGGGCCGUUCCUUGUCUAUGUUCCUUGGAACAGGACGUCAUAGAGGGUGAGAAUCCCGUGUGGCGAGGAGUGCGGUUCUUUGUAAAGUGCCUUCGAAGAGUCGAGUUGUUUGGGAAUGCAGCUCUAAGUGGGUGGUAAAUUCCAUCUAAAGCUAAAUAUUGGCGAGAGACCGAUAGCGAACAAGUACAGUGAUGGAAAGAUGAAAAGAACUUUGAAAAGAGAGUGAAAAAGUACGUGAAAUUGUUGAAAGGGAAGGGCAUUUGAUCAGACAUGGUGUUUUGUGCCCUCUGCUCCUUGUGGGUAGGGGAAUCUCGCAUUUCACUGGGCCAGCAUCAGUUUUGGUGGCAGGAUAAAUCCAUAGGAAUGUAGCUUGCCUCGGUAAGUAUUAUAGCCUGUGGGAAUACUGCCAGCUGGGACUGAGGACUGCGACGUAAGUCAAGGAUGCUGGCAUAAUGGUUAUAUGCCGCCCGUCUU